rnacentral:antisense_RNA from 1 species
UAAGAUAAUGAAUAAACUGUUUUAGAAAAAUCACGAUAGUGAUCAUUAAGGAUCGUUCUAGGUAGACCUAAAAAUCCAGUAGAGUCAGCUAAGUUAAUAAAAUUUAAUCCAGUACCUAAAACUCCAGGUUGAUAAGCUGGAAUUAAAUUAGGACCGUCUAAGUCUUUUCUUUGAACAAGACCACUUCCAAUACUUCCAUCUUCACCGAUAUUAGGUAAUAAAAAACCAUAACCAAAAGCAUCACGAUAGGUUGGUAAACCUAAUUUCUUAGCUUUAUCAUCAUAUUCUUUUAAUUUUUCUGGAGGAAUAUCAUUAGGGUUAGUUACCCCUGCAUUUGGUGUUGAAGUCUCACUAACAGGUCCUUCACCUCUAGCCUUGCUUACAUUAUUAAGGUUGAUGUAAGCAUCAUAAUUAGGGUAUUGAUUUGCAACUACUCUUUUACCAUUAAUGAUUGCGUUAUUUACUUGAGGGUCUGGUAACGAAAUUGAGUUUGCUGCGCUACUCCCACCACCAGGACCAAAAGAGUUUCCACCAUUAUUAGGAUUAGAGGGAUCGCUUGGAUUGGGUUUUCUUUCUUCGUUUGGUGGAUCCUCAG